GCCUGGGUGGCUUGGUUAAGCAUCUGACUUCAGCUCAGGUCAUGGUCUCGCGGUCUGUGGGUUCAAGCCCCGCGUCGGGCU
rnacentral:tRNA from 1 species